UAAACUGGGAUUAGAUACCCCACUAUGCCCAGCCGUAAACUUAGAUAGCAAAAUACUACCUAUCCGCCAGAGAACUACGAGCAAAAUACUUAAAACUCAAAGGACUUGGCGGCAUUCCAUAUCAACCUAGAGGAGCCCGUCCAAUAAUCGAUACUACGCGUUCAACCCCACCAUUUUUGGCCACUCCAGCCUAUAUACCGCCGUCGCCAGCUAACCUUGUGAGAGAAAAGUAGUAAGCACAAUAGCCUCCGCUAAAACGUCAGGUCAAGGUGUAGCUUAUAAAAUGGAUGUGAUAGGCUACAUUUUCUAACAUAGAAAACACAGAAGUUACAAUGAAACCUUGUAACAGAAGGCGAAUUUAGAAGUAAACUAAGAAAGAAUUCUUAUUUUAACACUGCCCUGGAAUGCGCACACACCGCCGUCACCC
rnacentral:rRNA from 1 species